rnacentral:lncRNA from 1 species
AACCCAGGAGGCAGGCACUAUGGUUAGCCUCCUUCUAAAGGAGAAGACCCAAGACAGAGAGCGACUGGGGCACAAUGCAGGAGAUACGCUGCAAUGACCUGUUCUGCUGCCUCAGUGAUUCACCGUGGUUCCCACCACCAGGCUCACUGAUAAGGGGGUUUCCUCAUGGACUCUCCUUCAGCUGCCUCCCUAGGUCAAGGCUGCGUGUGCGUGUGUGUGUGCGUGUGUGUGUGUGUGUGUGUGUGUGUGUGUGUGUGCACGUGCACAGCACGGAUGCACUCAUGAAUGGCAGUGGAGGGAAAGACUCCUACCGACACAAACACGGAGCAGCUGGUUGUUCUAGAUGCCACGUGCAGCAGCUUCUCUCCCUCCUCUGGCACCCUGACCCCCUGUCCUACGUCCUGGCUGAGCUCACGACAGGAGAAAGGGGGCCAUCUCAUCUACACACGAGAAUCAGAGGAAGACUCGAAAGCAGUUCUUCCUGAGUAUUUACUUGGCCAGCAUCCCUGUGUUGGGCGCCGAUGAAGUGAAGGUGAACGAAACACAUUCCCUGCUCUCGAGAUGCCCGCGGGAAGACAGCGAUGCAAGCGAGUAAUUUCAGCAUUACCUCCGGGAUCUCUCCGAAGGCAGCACGGGGAACAGACUGCAGCCAGUCGAGAGUCGGGCUAGACGGCCAUCCCAGUAAUCCAGAGGACACUGCCAAGGGCCUGGCCUAACGGAGUAGCAGGGGUGGCGAGACGUGCGUAGACACAGCAGGCUGUGCUGCUGCCCCGUGUGGCCAUGGCCAUGGGGGAGAAGAACGCCACGUGACCCUGGUUCCGACGACUGCAUCCUACUGGUUUCCCCACUUUGGGAGGGGGGGGUAAGACUUGCAAUUAUCAGAUACGAUUUUAUCUUUCCUUGUUCUCACAUUUUAUAUUUAUUUUUUAUUUUAUUUGUCCUUUUAUAGGAGAAAAUAGCAUUCAUUCAA